rnacentral:misc_RNA from 1 species
AAACUAUUCCAAAAAAAUGAGGCCGUAAAUACUGUUUGUCCUAGAAUGAAUGGCAAACUGGACUUUCCCUGCCUCCAGAUUUUCAAACUUAAGGUGCUCAGGGCCAGCAGAGCACCUCCAGAGAUCAAACUGCUCAAUGCAGAUGGGUUUCUUGAGAAAAUGAAGCUAAUAAGGCCACCACUUAGUACAAUUCCACCGAAAGGAAUGCCAAAACAGAAAUCAUGGAUUUUUGCUGUUCGUUUCAGCACAGUGCCAACAUUAUCAGGUUCCUGCAGCUUCUCAUUCUCUAUAUUUCCAACAUCAGAUGACUCAUCAACACCCUGAUAUGAGUUUGUGGCAACUUGAGAUUCCGAUGCAUCAGUGGCGUAGCUUAAAGUUGUCUUAGUCUGGGAAUCAGCAGUAUUUGAAGCAGAUCCUUCGAGGCUUGUAACAAUCGAGAACUUAGGGAAGGAAAGAGAAGGGCGAGGGGCUAAGAAUGAGCGACGCUGUUGCAGGCGAAAGCCACGGUUGAUGGCGGCCAAGCACGAAAACUGAGACGCCGUCGCCGCCAUUUCAGAUCGGAGCAAGGUUAGAAGAAGAAAUGGGUAAGAAGAAUGAACAACAAAAUCAAGCAA